UAUGGCUCUUUCCGCCACCUUGGAGACUGUGGAGGCCUGCUGGAGACAGGACUUCUAAAACGACAAGUAUGUCUGGAAGGCUAUGGUCCAGGGCCACGUUUGCUGGCUAUAAGCAGGGUCUCCAGAACCAGAGGGAGCACAGAGCCCUUCUUAAAAUUGAAGGUGUUUAUGCUCGAGAUGAAACUGAAUUCUAUCUAGGCAAGAGAUGUGCUUAUGUGUACAAAGCAAAGAACAAAACAGUGACUCCUUGUGGCAAACCUAACAAAACCAGAGUAAUCUGGGGAAAGGUAACUUGUGCUCAUGGAAACAGUGGCAUGGUUAGUGCCAAAUUCUGAAGCAACUUCCUGCUAAGGCUAUUGGACACAGAAUCCAUGUGAUGCUGUACCCUUCAAGGAUUUAAACUUAUUGAAAAGUAAAUAAAUAAAAGUGAGGAUUUGUAA